UACGUAGGUGGCAAGCGUUGUCCGGAUUUAUUGGGUUUAAAGGGUGCGUAGGUGGACUAUUAAGUCAGUGCUGAAAUAUCCCGGCUUAACCGGGAGGGUGGCAUUGAUACUGAUGGACUUGAGUGGAGUUGAGGUAGGCGGAAUUGACGGUGUAGCGGUGAAAUGCUUAGAUAUCGUCAAGAACACCAAUAGCGAAGGCAGCUUACUAAGCUCUAACUGACACUGAUGCACGAAAGUGUGGGGAUCAAACAGG
rnacentral:rRNA from 1 species